GCUUAAAAUGUGCUUAUUUUCCAGUUACGGAGGAGGGAGAGAGCAUUGAAAUGAUUAUAGAGAAGUUAAAUUCUAAAGGAUGCGGAGUUCCUGAAAACUAUGAAACUUUUAGUCGUGUUGCUAUCCGUCGUCUUGGUCGUCUUCUUCCAGAUGCUCACUGGAAAAAGGGAGAUAAGGCUCACCUACUGAAGAGAUGUUGCUCAAGAGCAAAAUGCUUCAUUGGUAGGAUACUGAUGCUGGUUUUAAUCCGACACCUUCUAAGGUAAGGAAUGUGGUGAAAUUUCCAUGUGUUUGUAACAUCUCAUGCUGCAACCUGUCUUUUCUACUGUUUUGUUUGAUUGUGAGUUGCUAAGGCCUCAUUACCAAAGUUAUUUUAUAUAUUGGGGCAGAUUAGCGUAUCUUUAAAAGCUAAUGUAUAAUUUUCUUUCUAAAUAUUAAUUUGGAAAAAAACAUUUCUUAGUACUAAUUGUUUCUACUCUCGGCAUAUGCCUACAAUGUUCAAUUCUCUCUCACCAAAACUUUCAAAGAUGGUUACAGACAUUGCAACUAAACUAAAAUAAUUCUAAAUUCAGUUUGUGGAUGCGGUGAAGUAAUUGUCUAGUCUUUUUGUAUUGAUUUUUUUGUCAAAUGACGAGGAUUUAACAGAUUGAUUUAGCACACCAUAAUUUGUUUACCAUAGCUUUGAAGAAUUUUGUUGUUAUUACUUGUAAGGAAGACAAAGAUAUCAAUGUUGAAAUUUAUAGAGCUGGAAAACUAUUAACUCAUUUGCAACUGGAAAAGGAAUAUCAAGACUGGCUUCUGCAGAUGCAUGAUCAUUAUGAUGAAGAAUAUAACUUUGGAGUAGAUCAACCAAUUUUUAUCAUUAGCCCCAAAAACAAAAAGUCAUUGGGCAUUUCAUCUGAUGGUAGGCUUUGAUUGAUAAGGAAUUUAUCUUACAUAACAUUGUUUUCCAUUUUGCAUAGUUUGCUUUUCAUGUACUUUGUUCAAUUCCUUGGGUCUCUUUUUUAUUCUUUUGUUGCCGAUUUGUUUGUUUACUUCUUGUUUCUAUCUGAUGAGAUAUCAAAUAUAUAUUAUUCAACUAUAGUUGCAAGGGUGCACUGAGUACUAAAGAGGAAGGGUUUAACAUGGAAAAGAGGUCAAAGAGUUAAGGUUUUCAAGGGAGCAUGUGCUGGAGUUCAUAACAACAAUAUCUAUGCAACAAUAGAAUAUUUUUUAAUUGAAGGUCUUCAAGGGGAUGCUGCUCAUAGGCAAUGGUUUUAAGACUCUUAAGACUUAUAGCACAUGACUAUUAGUUUGCUUUUUAUCAUCUCGUAAUAGAACAAACAUAUUAUUGACAUGUUUACAUAAUUUAAUCUUCUUGCAAAUUAGAUAAAUUUCACCCUCCCUUUUCUGAUAGGUGAUGCUCGAAUAAUAUGCAGGUAUGCUAUCUUGUGCAUUUGGGGCUCUAAAAGUUCUAUUUUUAGUGUAUAAAUAUAAUCCUUGUACUUUUUGUUUCACAAACAUGUGAUGUCUAAUAUCUUUUAUGGUUUGAAAGGCCAAUAGGUCUCUUGGAUAAAGAAGGAUGUGUCCUCGUGGAGAACAAUGGGACUGUCAGCUUGGUUAUUUUUUGCUCCUUAUCAUCACUUAUUGACAUAAUUGAUUCUGGAAAGGUUUUCUGUUUAAUUUCAAUCUUCUUUAUUACUGCAUACAUUUCUAUUUCCUUGAUACUUGCAAAUUUUACUUGAGAGUAAGUAUUUAUUUAUUUUUUUGUCAUUGGCAUUAGUGUGCAUGUACUGACAAUAUUGAUUGGAAACUACAACUAGAGAAGCAACGUCAGAAAACUCUUGCUUUGAUUGACUUGUUGAACGCAACACAAUGUUAAAACUUAGAUGUUGAUGGGGUUUGUAUUCAGCAAACUUCUCUUCUUUUGGUUUAUCAAGGAUGAGAACAAUGAUUAAGUUAUCUGGAAAUUCAUAAAUAUAGAAUGUCACAUCUUGUAUAUAUGUAAAAAUAUUCUCCAUUUCUUUUGGCACUUAGCUUGAGGAACAAAAAUGCAAUCCCUUUCUUUUCUCUUCCAUCAAGAUAUUUAAUCACAACUAAUUAGUUUCUGUUUCAAGCGUUACCUUUCAGUGCUAAAGACGGAGAAGUACCUCCUAGAGAAAUUGUGGGUGUUGUUUGGCAUGCCAAUGCUGUUUCUUCUAGUGCUUCAAAGAAGUUGGACUAGAAGUACAUUGUUAAGAAUAAUUUAGAAAUGAUCAUGGAAGUCAGAUUCAUAGGUGAAAAGAAGAAUCUUCAAAAGGGUAUUGACAUCUACAUAGCUCGUGUCCUACCUACUUCUACGAAAGGGUAUCAAGGUUUAUAUAUAUUUGAAUUCAGGUGCAAGUUACCAAUCGUCUUUCAAAAUGCUGGGAUGUAUAGGUUUUCAUUUCACCUUCCUCACUCAAGCUGUAAGAGUUGUGAGAGAUGGGUGGCAGUUAAGGGAUCUUCUAAGGUUGGAAAUUUGAGAUUGUUGAGUUGUAAACAGAGCCCCAAAGUUCUAUGUUAGAUGUUUGAUGCACAUAGUAAUCACGUCAACAAAGGUUUGGAAGUUGAAUUGAACUUGGAUGGAUUUCGAUUUGAUGACCAAUUGGGCAUAAAGUGUAAGUUUGUAAACAUAGGUGGACGAUUAUGGAUGUUUUGACCUUAGUGGCCUCUUGAAAGUAAUGGGUGGUUAUGGAAAAAGUGUAUCAAUUUCUAUUUUAUCUGAUAAUGAAGUCAUUUUCAAUCAAGAGUUUUGAACUCAGAAAAUGGAACUGAGAAUUGUAUCUGAGGUAUCCAUGAUAAUGAGGAAGGUGACGAAUCCCAUACACUCACGAUAAGGUUCCUCUUUUGCAAAGUCCAAAAACGGAGUCCAGUGAGAUACCCUCAUAUUCUGAUGGAAAGUUAUAACUUCUUGAGGGCUCAACUCCCCUCAAACUUGUAGGAAACCUUGUGGUAUCCAUCAUAAAGACUGAGAAGGAACUUGAGAGUGAAAUUUGCAAAUAUGGUUUGCAUAUUAGGAAUCAUGAAAUGGCAUUGAAAAUUGUUAAUGAUCAAACGGUAGAAGUCGAGCAAGUCUUGUCUCAAUUGCAAGGUACAUAUUUACCUUGUUCACAUCUUAACGUGUUCAAGCUGCUUGAGUGUGGGACAUUGUGUGUUUUGGGUCUUGUCAUAAGAGUUAAACGUUUAGGACAUAUGUUGACACCCCAAUUGAGGAUCACAAGUUUCUUUGUUAUUUUGAGGACCUGAAGGCACAUUUUGUCAUUCUCUGCCAUGCCACAAUAGCAGUUGGGGCUUACCCAAAUAUACAGAACCUGUUCGGAGAAUUUGGUAUUGAUGAUCGAUUGCAGUGGAAGGAGCACUCAAUGAUAUUUGCAAUACUAAACAAGCCAGGAGAAUUCAACUGAUUUGAUUUUUCUGAAGUUCUGCCAGCUCCUGUAAAUGGAAUAAUGGAAUGUUGACUUGGCCUGAGAAAGUCAAGUUUGCGAUUGGACUCCUUCCUGCAAUUCUUGGUGGACAAGCUAAUGUUGAAGCCCAAGAUGGUUUAGCUGUUAAGGAGUGGAUGAUAAAGCAGGGAGUACUUGAGCAUGUGACGACAAAGGUGUUUAUUGCCAUGUCAAAGGCACUAAAUUUUAUUAAGCCUGAUGAAUUGUCAAUGCAAUAUGUAUUGAUUACUUUAAAUCAAUUUCUUCAGGUACAGUAAUCCUCUUUUUUUUUUUCUUAAAUUUUUUUAAUCUCUUGAUUUUCCACCAGAAACUUUAUAUUAAUAUCAAUA